GACGAACGCUGGCGGCGUGCUUAACACAUGCAAGUCGAACGGAAAGGCCCUGCGUUUGUGGGGUGCUCGAGUGGCGAACGGGUGAGUAACACGUGAGUAACCUGCCCUUGACUUUGGGAUAACUUCAGGAAACUGGGGCUAAUACCGGAUAGGAGCUCCUGCUGCAUGGUGGGGGUUGGAAAGUUUCGGCGGUUGGGGAUGGACUCGCGGCUUAUCAGCUUGUUGGUGGGGUAGUGGCUUACCAAGGCUUUGACGGGUAGCCGGCCUGAGAGGGUGACCGGCCACAUUGGGACUGAGAUACGGCCCAGACUCCUACGGGAGGCAGCAGUGGGGAAUAUUGCACAAUGGGCGGAAGCCUGAUGCGGCAAUGCCGCGUGCGGGAUGACGGCCUUCGGGUUGUAAACCGCUUUCGCCUGUGACGAAGCGUGAGUGACGGUAAUGGGUAAAGAAGCACCGGCUAACUACGUG
rnacentral:rRNA from 1 species